UUUGUCUACAAUACAAAUGUUGUUACGCAGAUUUGGUCGCCCAGUGAAGCUAAGCAGGGCGUUGCCGGUUUGUAUCUGGAUGGGAGACCACAUGGGAAAGCUAGGUUGUUGCCGGAA
rnacentral:rRNA from 1 species